AUUGAACGCUGGCGGCAGGCCUAACACAUGCAAGUCGAACGAGUGGCGGACGGGUGAGUAAUGUAUGGGAAACUGCCCGAUGGAGGGGGAUACCUACUGGAAACGGUAGCUAAUAACGCAUCCCAUCGGAUUUCCCCAGAUGGGAUUAGCUAGUAGGUGGGGUAACGGCUCACCUAGGCGACGAUCCCUAGCUGGUCUGAGAGGAUGACAAGCCACACUUGAACUGAGACACGGGCAAGACUCCUACGGGAGGCAGCAGUGGGGAAUAUGGCACAAUGGGCGCAAGCCUGAUGCAGCCAUGACGCGUGUAUGAAGAAGGCCUUAGGGUUGUAAAGUACGUUAAGCGAGGAGGCGUUACUCGCAGAAGAAGCACCGGCUAACUCCGUGCCAGCAGCCGCGGUAAUAC
rnacentral:rRNA from 1 species